rnacentral:rRNA from 1 species
GACGAACGCUGGCGGCGUGCUUAACACAUGCAAGUCGAACGGAAAGGCCCUGCUUUUGUGGGGUGCUCGAGUGGCGAACGGGUGAGUAACACGUGAGUAACCUGCCCUUUACUUUGGGAUAACUUCAGGAAACUGGGGCUAAUACCGGAUAUGAGCUCCUGCUGCAUGGUGUGGGUUGGAAAGUUUCGGCGGUUGGGGAUGGACUCGCGGCUUAUCAGCUUGUUGGUGGGGUAGUGGCUUACCAAGGCUUUGACGGGUAGCCGGCCUGAGAGGGUGACCGGACACAUUGGGACUGAGAUACGGCCCAGACUCAUACGGGAGGCAGCAGUGGGGAAUAUUGCACAAUGGGCGGAAGCCUGAUGCAGCAACGCCGCGUGCGGGAUGACGGCCUUCGGGUUGUAAACCGCUUUCGCCUGUGACGAAGCGUGAGUGACGGUAAUGGGUAAAGAAGCACCGGCUAACUACGUG